UGUCUCUCCCUCUCUCUCACUUACCACUUCCGCCUCCGCCGUGCCCGAGGUUCCCUCGGCGGUGGAGAUUUCCAGAAUCUGAAAAUAAGGACACCAUUCUCUUCAUCUUUUCAACCUAAAAGCAAAAUUGCCACUAAUUUCCAUCGAAAUUGAACCCUAAGUUCUAAUUGAUCAAAAGUGUGGAAGAACCCUAGGUCCUAAUUCCAAAACUAACUGAAGAUUCGGAGGAAUCGGAGCCCAAAAGGUUAGGGCUCUGAUUCCCCAAGCUCUAAGCUACAAACUGGAAACAGAUUUGAAGUGAAAUGCAGAAAAAGAUUCGAGCAACCUACCGGAGAAGGUGAAGCUGAAGACGGCGAUGACGACGAGAUCUCAUGUAUGUUCUGGUUGGAAAUGGUUUUUUCAUGCUUCUCUCCUUUUGAAACUCAAUGCAGGAAGAUGGUAACUGAUGCUGCAGAAGCAAUGCAGAGGGUUUGAUCAAUGCCAUCAUGGUCAAUGUGAUUAGGAUAGGUUAAGUAGUUGAUGGUAUCUUAGGUUAUAUAUUAGUUUAUGUUCAUUUGGAUGUACAUUUCUAAUGUGUAAUGCAUUAUCAUGGAUUUAUGUUCAUGGAUCUUUUGUAAAUGCAAAUUGGAUUUUGAAUGCAAAGUUGACAAUUGAGUAAAAAUAGAAAUUUGGUAUGAA